UAUGUAGGGUCCGAGCGUUGUCCGGAUUUAUUGGGCGUAAAGAGCUCGUAGGCGGUUCCGUAAGUCAGAUGUGAAAACUCAGGGCUCAACCCGGAGACGCCAUCUGAUACUGCGGUGACUGGAGUCUGGUAGGGGAACACGGAAUUCCUGGUGUAGCGGUGAAAUGCGCAGAUAUCAGGAGGAACACCGAUGGCGAAGGCAGUGUUCUGGGCCAGUACUGACGCUGAGGAGCGAAAGCGUGGGGAGCAAACAGG
rnacentral:rRNA from 1 species